rnacentral:rRNA from 1 species
UCUUGCGCAAUGCGCGAAAGCGUGACGCAGCAACACCGCGUGAGGGAAGACGGCCUUAGGGUUGUAAACCUCUUUCAGAUGGGACGAAGGUUCGACGGUGAAUAGCCGAUCGGAUUGACGGUACCGUCAGAAGAAGCUCCGGCUAACUACGUGCCAGCAGCCGCGGUAAUACGUAGGGAGCGAGCGUUGUCCGGAAUCAUUGGGCGUAAAGAGCACGUAGGUGGAUUGAUCAGUCUGUCGUGAAAGUCAACGGCUCAACCGUUGAAUGCCGGUGGAUACUGUUGAUCUAGAGUACGGAAGAGGCGAGUGGAAUUCCUGGUGUAGCGGUGGAAUGCGCAGAUAUCAGGAGGAACACCAAUAGCGAAGGCAGCUCGCUGGGACGUUACUGACACUGAGGUGCGAAAGCGUGGGGAGCAAACAGG